CCUAGAGUUGUUGGCUUUGCCUGCUAUCUCUUACCCAUGUCUUUUGAGUACCUUCGUUUCCUCGGCGGGUCCGCCCGCCGAUUGGACAAUUUAAACCAUUUGCAGUUGCAAUCAGCGUCUGAAAAAACUUAAUAGUUA
rnacentral:misc_RNA from 1 species